rnacentral:rRNA from 12 species
GCCACACCAUCCUGUAAAUGCACAAUCCCUUCAGCUCUUGGAAGUUAAGCAGGGCUGGGCAUAGUUAGCACUUGGAUGGGAGACCACCUUGGAAGACAAGGGGC